CCCUUAGAUGUCCUGGGCCGCACGCGCGCUACACUGAUGCAUGCAACGAGUUUAUAACCUUGGCCUGAAAGGUCUGGGUAAUCUUUUGAACGUGCAUCGUGAUAGGGAUAGAUUAUUGCAAUUGUUAAUCUUGAACGAGGAAUUCCUAGUAAACGCGAGUCAUCAGCUCGCAUUGAUUACGUCCCUGCCCUUUGUACACACCGCCCGUCGCACCUACCGAUUGAAUGGUUCGGUAAAGAUCUCGGACUUCGAUAUUUAUUCUUUAUUGAGUUUAUAUUGUGGGAAGUUAUCUAAACCUCAUCAUUUAGAGGAAGGUGAAGUCGUAACA
rnacentral:rRNA from 1 species